AUGGGGUGCCUGAGCCAGGCCCCACCCAUCACAGCAUUCCCAGGUCCUGGUACCCAGCCCUCAGUGGCCCUGGUCUUGCGCCAUCCAUCCCACCUGCCACUACCUUGGGUGUCCUUACAGCUCAGUCCUGACCCCAGUCCCUGCCCCAGGACACCUGCUGACAGCUCCCACAGAGAACAGUCUGAGGUGAUGCUGGCUACAGCCCCAGCAGCCCAUGGCAACUCAAAGUGCCUUCCAAACCAAACUGCCCCUCAUGAGGUUAGGGUCCCUCACCCUCCACCUGCCCAGAGGCCAACUCUGUUCCCUUCUUUCAUCCCAGAGGGGCCUCAUCAGCAAAGACAGAAACUGAUGUUCCAUGCGUGUCCCUGCUUCCAAAGCCUGACCUUCCAACGCUUGCUUCCUUCCUCCUGGCUGCACAGACACCUCUACUUGGCCACAGCUUUGCUCUUUGGUCCUCAGGCCACCAGACCCCUCACAGCAUGGCCUUUGGCUCUUCCUGCACUGCCCUCACCCUCAGCCGUCCCAAGGAGUGCCCAGCACUAGUCAGUAUGUAGUCCAGGACCUGCGGCAUUAGCAUCCCCUGGGAGCUUCUUAGAAAGGCAGACCCGUGGACUCUACUGCAGGCCUCUGGAAUCAGAAUCUUCAGGAUGGGGCCCAGCAGUCUGUGUUUUAACAGGUUCUCCUGGUGAUGCUGGUGCAUGCUCACGUUUGAGAACUGCUGCUCUCAUAGACUGCUCCUCCACGGAGCAGUGUGGAACAGGAGAGAAAGUCCCGUCCCUAUCUCUGACUGUGCAGUGAGUGUGGCCUAGGAACAGGCCCCUUCCCAAGCUCUAAUGUCCCCAUCUGUAAAGUGGACUGGUUGGCCUCCAUGGUCUCAGAGCUGCCAUCCCUCUGUGCCGUCCUGCAUUUUUGGGAAUGGAAAGCAGGCCUCUGAGGCAGUGGACAGGAAGCUUUCUCAUCCUUGAAUUCUAGCUCCCAUUCCAAACUGUUAGUCCACAGCGUUGUGGUCACAUCAGAGGUCAACAGCAGAACAGAGGCAGGUCAGGGUUGUCCUCUCUGAUUAGUAGAACAAUGGACCCUUCCUCCUCCUCCCUCCCUUCCAUCCCUUCUCAUUGGCUCCCUGCUGCUGGGAUGCUUUCCAAGAUCUCUAGCCUCCAUGGCUGAUGACCUCAGCUUUCACAUAGGUGAAAUGUGUGUGCCCAUGCUGCAGCUCCAUCCCAUGGGGGCCCUGAAGACCCACUGAGGAAUUCCGUAGGGUCUUGUUCCCACAAUUGGAGUGCUGGCUCUAACAGUGAACUUUGAUGCAUUUAAAAUAAGAUUCUGAUGCCAGACUGUUAAAGCAGGCGUUGGUUCUGAAGCACUGAUGGAAAUAGAUUGAUGCAGAUGGAAGGAGGAAGGGAGACUGGGCCCACUGAUUUCCAGCCCCACCAUGUGCGCUGUUUUCAGAUGUGACUGAGGGGUGUUCUGCCCUGCCUCCACUGUCACAGUCUUUAAUAAAGAUGUAAAUCUUGAAA